UGUUGGGUGCCGAUGAUGACUUAAUCAAUACGUAACUGAAAGGCGAUAGAGAAAACCGUUAUUAUGCGUGGCGCCAUCGCCAUUCUCCGAGUGAUUCCAUCUCUCAGCUUUCAAAUCCAGUUCUAUUGAUCGACGCUGGCAAUGGCACACUGGCUCAAAGCCGCUGAAGAUUUAUUUGAAGUUGUGGAUCGAAGAGCGAAAUCUGUUGUCACUGAUUUAUCAGAUGAACAAUCUAAUUUUAAUUCUCCAGCUUCUACUGGGCAAGGAUCACAUGGCAAGAGAAGGAAAUCAAAAUCCAAGGCUCAAAAGGGAAAAUCUAAAAACUCAUCUCCUACAAAUACUGAUACUACCAAAGAGAAAGGUAACACACCAGAAGCACCGGCUGAUCAUGCAGUAGAAAACGAUGGGAGUGCUUUCACUCCUACAAAUCAACCAAUCAAAGACAAUGUAGAGGCAUUUGAUACUGCUCCUGAAGCUACCACCACUGUUAUCGCUAAUGGGGAGCCCGGCAAAGAGAAUGCUCUAGACAUGCCUAAGGAGUAUCCUUCUCCGGAUACCAAAGGAAUUGAAGGCUCCACUGAAGACAAACCCACUAAUGCUGAACAAGUUAUCAAGAAUGAGAAUUUGGAUUCCGAUGUGAAUAUGGAUCAAGAGAGAACUAAAUCUGUGGCCAAUGACAAAAGUUCCAAUCGUGGUGGUGACACUAUAAUUCAAGAUGCUGAUAUCAAAGCUGAAUCUUUUGUCAAUAGAAGCACUCAAGAAAAUCAUAAAACUGACAUUUCUCCGAAGAAACUACAGGAUCAACUUGAUCAGGCUCAAGGACUACUCAAAGCAGCAAAAUCUACUGGUCAGUCCAAUGAGGCAAGGUUAGCUAGGGUUUGUGCUGGACUAUCAUCUAGUCUUCAGGAAUACAAAUCUGGAAAUGUAGAGUUAGAAAAACUGCUUAGUGCAGAGAGAGAACUGAAUAAAUCAUUUGAAGUUCACAUAGAACAGCUACAGAAGGAUUUGUCUCAAAAUAAAAGGGAAGUAGCAAAAGUUGAAUCAAACAUGGCUGAAGCCUUGGCUGCAAAAAAUUCUGAAAUUGAGGCACUUCUUAGUUCGAUUGAUGCAGUAAAGAAGCAGGCUGCAUUAUCAGAAGAAAAUAUAGCUUCCCUUCAGGCAAACAUGGAGUCUAUGAUGAAAAACCGAGAUCAAAUAGAGACAAGAAUGAUGCAGGCUCUAAGAGAGGAACUAGCAUUUGCUGAGCGAAGAGCAGAAGAAGAGCAUGCAGCACAUAAUGCUACCAAAAUGGCUUUUAUGGAAAAAGAAGUGAAAUUGGAGCAGAGAGCUAUUGAGGCAGCUACAGCUCUUGCAAGGAUACAGAGAAUAGCAGAUGAGAGGACCUUGAAGGCCACAGAAUUGGAGCAGAAGGUGGUACUUCUUGAGGUUGAGUGUGCAUUCCUAAAUCAAGAAUUGCAAGAUAUUGGAGAUCGCGUGCGCCGUGAACAAAAGAAGUCACCAGAAGAGGCAAAUCAAGUAAUUCAGGCAUGGCAGGAAGAAACAGAGCGAGCAUAUAGGAGUCAGAGAGAAGCUGAAAACAAGAUUUCUUCAAUAGAGGCUGAGCUGCAAAAGAUGAGAGUGGAAAUGGCAGCCAUGAAGAGGGAUGCUGAGCAUUACUCCCGUCAGGAGCAUGUGGAAUUGGAGAAACGCUAUCGCGAACUUACGGACCUUUUGUACUAUAAACAGACACAAUUAGAAGCCAUGAGCAGCGAAAAAGCUGCCGCUGAGUUUCAAUUGCAGAAAGAAUAUAAGCGUCUACAAGAAGCACAGGCUGAGACUGAAAAAAAUAGAAUUUCUCGUCGACCAUCUUCAUCUUGGGAAGAAGAUACUGAAAUGAAAACCCUCGAGCCACUUCCUUUGCAUAAUCGCCAUUUGGUUGGGGCAAGCAUUCAGUUGCAGAAAGCGGUGAAACUAUUAGAUUCAGGAGCCGUAAGGGCCACAAGAUUUCUCUGGCGUUAUCCAACGGCUCGAGUUGGUCUAUUUUUCUAUCUGGUGUUUGUACAUCUCUUCUUGAUGUAUCUCUUGCAUUGCCUUCAGGAGCAAGCUCACAAUUUGGAUGCUAGAGAGGUUGCAAAAUCUUUGGGACUCUCUGACCCGAAUUACCGUGACUAAUCUUAUGAUGGGAAAAAAAAUUCAAGGCCCUACAUCUGGUGUUAACAUUUCAAGAUUACCCUGCAAAUGCAUGUAAUCGUUACUGCUGCAUGCUCGAGUUUUCUCAAUGUGGGAUGGCAUCAUCUCUUGCUUUAUUUUUUCACCAAAAUCGUAAAAACAUGAUUUAGGUCAAAGUCUUGUCGCUGACUGGAUGACGUUAACAGUUAACUAUUGCAACGGGACAAUCUAUGCUUACUUCUGCUUCCGUGAUACUAUUCUUCCUUUCCUUCUAAUUUCCAAGACCAAAAUAGAUUGCUAAGGCGCUGUGAUGAAUGCUCUGUAUUAAUAUUUUAACA